CCCUUAGAUGUUCUGGGCCGCACGCGCGCUACACUGAUGCAUUCAACGAGUCUAAAACCUGCUCUGAUAGGGGUGGGUAAUCUUUUGAAUGUGCAUCGUGAUUGGGAUAGAUGAUUGCAAUUUUUCAUCUUCAACGAGGAAUGCCUAGUAAACGCAAGUCAUCAGCUUGCAUUGAUUACGUCCCUGCCCUUUGUACACACCGCCCGUCGCUCCUACCGAUUGAGUGGUCCGGUGAGGCUUUGGGAUCUGGAUGGAAAGAGCGUUUCGCUGUUUCUGCCCGGAAAACUCAGUCGAACCUUAUCAUUUAGAGGAAGGAGAAGUCGUAACA
rnacentral:rRNA from 1 species